rnacentral:rRNA from 1 species
GUGUCAGCAGCCGCGGUAAUACGUAGGGAGCGAGCGUUAUCCGGAAUUAUUGGGCGUAAAGCGUGCGUAGGCGGCGUGUUAAGUCGAAUGUGAAAGCCCACAGCUUAACUGUGGAGGGUCAUUCGAAACUGGCAUGCUAGAGUACGGCAGAGGUUAGUGGAAUUCAAUGUGUAGCGGUAAAAUGCGUAGAUAUAUUGAGGAACACCAGUGGCGAAGGCGGCUAACUGGACCGGAACUGACGCUGAGGCACGAAAGCGUGGGGAGCAAACAGGAUUAGAUACCCUGGUAGUCCACGCCGUAAACGUUGAGAACUAAGUGUUGGGGUGACCCAGUGCUGAAGUUAACGCAUUAAGUUCUCCGCCUGGGAAGUACGAUCGCAAGAUUGAA